GAUGAACGCUAGCGGCAGGCCUAAUACAUGCAAGUCGAGGGAGAAUGUUGGAUUCGUCUGACAUGAAACCGGCGCACGGGUGCGUAACACGUAUGCAACCUACCUUUAACUGGGGUAUAGCUCAGAGAAAUCUGAAUUAAUCCCCCAUAAGACUACGACAUGGCAUCAUGAUGUAGUUAAAGCUCCGGCGGUUAAGGAUGGGCAUGCGGUACAUUAGCUAGUUGGUGAGGUAAUGGCGCACCAAGGCUACGAUGUAUAGGGGGUCUGAGAGGAUGAUCCCCCACACGGGUACUGAUACACGGACCAGGCUCCUACGGGAGGCAGCAGUAGGGAAUAUUGGUCAAUGGACGCAAGUCUGAACCAGCCAUGCCGCGUGAAGGAUGAAGGCCCUAUGGGUCGUAAACUUCUUUUAUUAGGGAAGAAAAAACGGGAUGCGUCCUGUACUGACGGUACUUAAUGAAUAAGGAUCGGCUAACUUCGUGCCAGCCGCCGCUGUAA
rnacentral:rRNA from 1 species